rnacentral:rRNA from 1 species
CCUACGUGAGUCAGCAGUUGGGAAUAUUUGACAAUGUGGGAAACCCUGAUCCAUCGACGCCGCGUGAGUGAAGAAGUAUUUCGGUACGUACAGCUCUAUCAGCAGGAAAGACAAUGACGGUACCUGACUAAGAAUCCCCGGCUAACUACGUGCCAGCAGCCGCGGUAAUACGUAGGGGGCAAGCGUUAUCCGGAUGUACUGGGUGUAAAGUGAGCGUAGACGGCAGCGCAAGUCUGGAGGGAAAUGCCGGGGCCCAACCCCGGAACUGCUCUGGAAACUGUGAAGCUGGAGUGCAGGAGAGGUAAGCGGAAUUCCUGGUGUAGCGGUGAAAUGCGUAGAUAUCAGGAGGAACACCGGCGGCGAAGGCGGCUUACUGGACUGUAACUGACGUUGAGGCUCGAAGGCGUGGGGAGCAAACAGGAUUAGAUACCCUUGUAGUC